UCGGUACUGUGUUUGUUCUCGUAGUCGUCCGUCGUUUCGUUUUAAACCAAAUAAUUCGCGGGAUAAUAUCGAAUAUUAUAACUGUUCUGUUUAUUUGAUGUCUUCAAUCAAUUGAAGGAAAAUGGAUCAAUUCAAGAACAAUGUUGCAAACUUAUACAUCAAAAAUUUGGACAGUUCCGUAGAUGAUCUUCAGCUAUUUGAAGAGUUUUCCAAGUUUGGGCCAAUAACUUCCGCUAGGGUGAUGCGCGAUGAUAAUGGCCGUUCCAAAGGUUUCGGUUUUGUAUGCUUCACUACUGUGCUUGCCGCAAGUAGAGCUAUAUUUGAGAUGAAUGGUCGAAUUUUCGCCGGGAAGCCUUUAUAUGUUGCGCUUGCUCAGCCCAAAGAAGUACGCAAACAGUUUUUGGAAAAACAGUUCAGCAAGGCACUCGAAAAGUUUCCAGAAAUUGAUGAUACUGAUUUUCUUCAACGUUAACGGUUCCCCAAAGACGGUAAUGGCGACAAUGAGUCGGUCAUAAUCGUUAUAAUUGACGCAUUGAUUGACACGAUUGUUGUGCGUGUCAAUAUGAAUGAAACCAAGGAAGUUUGUUUUAUGUUGUGUGUAUCAAAACAUGUUUGAAAAGAAGGAAAUUCAUAACAGUUCGCUCGAACUAAAAACAUCUAAAAUAACGGAUAUGGGCAAUCUUGAGAAAGAUUUCGAUGUACAUAUAAUACAAUUUGUUAACACUUCAAUGAAUAAGAUGUGUUAUUUUUAAA